AGCUAAUAGAUACCCAGGUAGUCCACGCCCUAAACGAUGUCAACUAGUUGUUGGAGCACAAAGUGGCUUUGGUUAAACGCAGCUAACGACGCGAAGUUGACCGCCUGGGGAGUACGGUCGCAAGAUUAAAACUCAAAGGAAUUGACGGGGACCCGGCACAAGCGGUGGAUGAUGUGGAUUAAUUCGAUGCAACGCGAAAAACCUUAACCUACCCUUGACAUGGUUCGAAUCUUUCAGAGAUGAGAGAGUGCUCGCAAGAGAACGGACACACAGGUGCUGCAUGGCUGUCGUCAGCUCGUGUCGUGAGAUGUUGGGUUAAGUCCCGCAACGAGCGCAACCCUUGUCAUUAAUUGCCAUCAUUAGGUUGGGCACUUUAAUGAGACUGCCGGUGACAAACCGGA
rnacentral:rRNA from 1 species